rnacentral:rRNA from 1 species
GUUUUUUUGAUUAAAAAUUUAAAGUUUAAUUUGCCCCCUGAUUAAAAAUUAAAGGGCUGCAGUAUAUUGACUGUACAAAGGUAGCAUAAUAAUUAGUCUUUUAAUUGAAGACUUGUAUGAAAGAUUUGAUGAAAUAUAAACUGUCUCUAAAUUAAAAAUUGAAAUUAAUUUUUUUAUUAAAAAGUUAAAAUAAUUUAAAAAGACGAGAAGACCCUAUAGAGUUUUAUAAUUAUAAUUUUUUAAUAUUUAAUAUAUAAAUAAUAAAUUUAAAAAAUUAUAAUUAUUUUAUUGGGGUGAUAGAAAAAUUAAAAUAACUUUUUUUAAAAAAAAAACAUGAAUAAUUGAAUAAAUGAUCCAUAAAUUAUGAUUAUAAGAAAAAAUUACCUUAGGGAUAACAGCGUAAUUUUUUUUUUUAGUACAAAUAAAAAAAAAAGGUUGCGACCUCGAUGUUGGAUUAAGAUAAAAUUUAAAUGCAAAAGUUUAAAAUUUUGAUCUGUUCGAUCAUUAAAAUCUUACAU